CAAAAGUAUAAUUUUGCAUAUAUAUUGCACACUAGUGCAACAUAUCUCCAAAAUGCAAAGUUUUACUACUAUUUAAAGUUUUUGAAAUUCUAUUAAAAUGUCCAUUUUUAAUGUUUCAAAAUAUUGAUGGAUUUAGGUCUGUUUGUUAAAGAUAUUCUCUGUCGUUCUUCAUUAUUGAUUUGCCAAAGAUGUCCAUUAUCAGUGAUAUAAGAUGCCAUCAUCAUCCAGUAGUAUAGGAGAUCCUAAAUUACUGGUUAUUAUAUAUCUUUUAAUUUUAUUUUAUAAAAUAAUAAAUAUAAGAGCCUUUUCAGAGGUUAUUCCCAUGAUUGAUUGAGAUUAUGAAGGUUAGGAAUUGAUGGAUAGAGUUUUAAUUUAAAGUUUAUAGUUUCAGGGGAAUUCAUAAUGAACACACUAGAUAGCAAGCAAAUGCUAUAGCAUCAGUUAAUGGAUACACACACAUUAUCAUUUAAUUACGUAUAUACAGUAGAACCCGUUUAUACAUUUCUCACUUGUACAUUGUGUUUUGUACACUCUUUCAAUUUUGCAUGUAAAAUCAUCCCACUUGCAUGUUUUCCAUUUAUACAUUUUUGCAUUUCUAUGCUAUUAUUUUUAUUCCCCAGAGUUGUUUCAUCGCACUUAUACCUAAAA
rnacentral:lncRNA from 1 species